rnacentral:rRNA from 1 species
GACGAACGCUGGCGGCGCGCCUAACACAUGCAAGUCGAACGAGCGAGAGAGAGCUUGCUUUCUCGAGCGAGUGGCGAACGGGUGAGUAACGCGUGAGGAACCUGCCUCAAAGAGGGGGACAACAGUUGGAAACGACUGCUAAUACCGCAUAAGCGCACAGUAUCGCAUGAUACAGUGUGAAAAACUCCGGUGGUACAAGAUGGACCCGCGUCUGAUUAGCUAGUUGGUAAGGUAACGGCUUACCAAGGCGACGAUCAGUAGCCGACCUGAGAGGGUGACCGGCCACAUUGGGACUGAGACACGGCCCAA